CCAGCCAUGAGCUCACUAUUUUUGCAUGUAAUUCAGUUAAUUUGAGCGUUCUGGUCGAAGCCGGAGAGCAGUAACGUUUUUGUCGACCCGAUGUAAGAAAGACCACCGAAAAGUACUGGCUUAGUAGAGACGGUGAAAAACAUGCAAAGCUCUGUUUAGACGCUAGCCAGUCGUCUUAGGACUUAGUUUUGUUAUCCGUCGAUAUGUAUCUUCCGGGCGAAUGUUACACUUUGUCUGGGAUUCACCAUGUUUCUGCGAAACUUGGUAAAGUCUCAAAGUGUUUUCAUUAUUUGAAGCGUAAUGUUCCUUUUAACUCACCUGUUAAAACUAAGCUUCAAAUUUGAAUUUCUUGUGUGAGGUCCAUUUUACUUAAUAACUCUUGUAUUUGGUACCCAAAUUUAUCAAAGCUACGUGAUUUGGAAAAAUUCCAGAAAAAGGCAGUAAAGUUGAUAAUUGGUUCCACUAAUUAUACUGACAGUCUUGUGAUGUUAAACAUACUGCCUAUUUGCUAUCAAAUUAUUUUUACUGAUUGUCUUCUCUUCUUCAAACUGUUACAUAACUGUUACGACUUCGAUAUUAACGACUAUGUUACUGUUAGUGAAUCGAGACCGGGUAACAGAUCCAGUCAGAGAAUGGUAUUCUAUGUACCUCUUACCCGCAAAUUCUGUUCCCUUGGGAGCUUUUUCCAAAGAACAAUUCAUAGCGUCAAUAGUGUUUAAGCAAAAAUCGACAUCGACUCUACUCUUCAAUUUUCUUAAACAGCAACUUCAAUCAACCUUCAAUCUCGACAAUCCAUGCACUUUCUUCAUCAAAUGCCGUUGCAACCCAUGUCGUUCCUGAACAUUAACAAUUUAACUCAAAGCUUGAAUUACGCAAACUCAAAGUUUCACUUUUAUAUGUAGUAUCAUUCACUAAUAAAGUUCAUUUUUUCUUCUUCUCUCUUCAGAAGGCACGUUUGAACCCUCUGAGCACGUUAUCGAGAGAAUAGAGAAGAGGGUCAGAAAAUUAAGUAAAAUUUAGAAAAUUUCAAUUUACGAGCUAGAAUUUCGGUGAAAGACCGAAAUCGCCAUGUUGGACAAAAAGAAUAACGCAAGCAAAGAACAUCCGAACACGACACGAGGGACAGUCAAUUGAGAUUUUGCAAAAAAGAAGCUUCCAGACGCGACACGCUCGUGGGAUACUUUCGUUAUUUCCCGAAUUGUGUGGAGCCGGAAGGUUAAGUGGCAGAUUUGUGACCGAUCCGAACCUCAAAGAAACCAGAAUUAGAAAGAACAACGACGUUAUCUCUCGGGAAUUUCUGAGUUGGAGGAUGAGUGCCCGUUGACUUCUUAACAGCUUAUUACUCGUUUUAUUACUCUAAGUCCCUGAACGGUUGUUUUCUAUUGUUUUUUUUUAGACCACGAGUAGUCCAGGGCGAGGAAAGAGUCAAUCAAGCUCAUGGAUCCGAUGAGGGCUAUUCUCAUGCGUGAAGGACCGAAUGCGCGAAAAAACUCGUGAGCGAAUGACCGAAAAUAAAAUUAGCCAAAAGUCAAAUUUUAAAAAGAAGCAAUUGCCAUUCAAUUAAAUGAAGCUAUGUUUCGCUUCUUUAAUAACGAAACUGUUGAAAUAUAAAAUUUGUUCCAAUUCGGCGGCGUCAAAGACAAUUUGGAAAUUUUCCAUAUUUCUGCUGUUCUUUUAUCCGGCCAAUAUCAAUAUUCUAGUACCUGGAAAUGUUUACUAUCUUUGCAGUUUUUAGAUUACUGAAAUCUGAUUUGCUGAUUGGCUAAGAAACUAUAAUAAUGGAUUUUUAGUACCAUUUUUAGCUGCAACUGCAUUGUCUGGGGAUCGGAGAUUAUUUGUGGUUAUUAUAUAUGUGGUUAUUAUUUGCAUGUAAUCGAAAGCUAAGUAAGAAUCGUUCGGCUGAUGGCCUAAAAGUCGUAACACGUUCGUUGACCCUUACACAACAAAAGUUCCACUGGCUAGGUCGAGAAAGUGAAAAACACGUUGAGUUAAGCUAUCUGACGUCAGCCAGUCGUCAAAAAAGAACUUUUUCUCUUUUCUGUCGUUGUGUAGGUUUUGGGCGAAUAUUACAUGUUCCAUCGCUGAAAAAAUUUUUGCAACAAAUUGCUUCUGGUAUUUUUUAAAAUAUUUUCGGCUCAAUUAGUGUCUUCUCAUGUAUUGUGGGCUGAGUGGUUGCUCGGAUAUUAUAAAAAGCUUAUUUGAUGCUGGUUGUUGGUUUUCUCGAUAGUUCUGCAAUUGAUAUUUUUUUAAAAAAUGUUUUAUUUAUUUCAAUGAUUUUUUUCUUAGUUAUUUUCAGCUCUUUUUCUGUUCGAUAGCUUGCAAUGCUAUGCUUGCAUUUUGUAACAGGUGAUAGGAAUCUUCACUUCGCUUCUGUGUCGACCGAACUAUAUAUGAUAAAGAGAUCUGAAUAUACAAGCUUUUGGAAAUUCACCAUCCCAUAGAAUGCAUUUUCAGAAGCAACUUAAUUUCAUCUCAAGGUUGCACAUGACGCCAACCAGUAGUGGUGGACUAGAAGAAUUGUCAUGGUUCAAGCAAACACAACCCCGGAACAGAAAUCCCGUGACAGACAAAUAUUUUGUGGGAUUUUUUAAACCGCUCAUGUUUUUUGUUCUCAAAUUGGCUUAAAGAUUGUUAAUCUAAUAUUUGUUAGUCGCAAAUAUUGGGGCACCUUUACAGCUUUUUGGUAGCAUUUGCUUUUUGAUGGAAAGUGAUUUUCCAACUCAAAGAAUCUCGCAAUUUUUUUAUACAUAAUUUUAUACA